rnacentral:rRNA from 1 species
GAAACCAACAGGGAUUGCCCUAGUAACGGCGAGUGAAGCGGCAACAGCUCAAAUUUGAAAUCUGGCGUAAGCCCGAGUUGUAAUUUGCAGAGGAUGCUUCUGGGCAGCGGCCGGUCUAAGUUCCUUGGAACAGGACGUCAUAGAGGGUGAGAAUCCCGUAUGUGACCGGCUGGCACCCUCCACGUAGCUCCUUCGACGAGUCGAGUUGUUUGGGAAUGCAGCUCUAAAUGGGAGGUAAAUUCCUUCUAAAGCUAAAUACCGGCCAGAGACCGAUAGCGCACAAGUAGAGUGAUCGAAAGAUGAAAAGCACUUUGGAAAGAGAGUUAAAAAGCACGUGAAAUUGUUGAAAGGGAAGCGCUUGCGACCAGACUUGUCGGCGGUGUUCCGCCGGUCUUCUGACCGGUUCACUCGCCGUCGGCAGGCCAGCAUCAUCUGGGGCCGCCGGAUAAAGGCUUAGGGAAGUUAGCUCCUCACGGGGAGUGUUAUAGCCCUUUGCACAAUACGGCGCGCCCCGGGUGAGGUCCGCGUCUCGGCAAGGAUGCUGGCGUAAUGGUCGUAAGCGGCCCGUCUUGAAACACGGACCAAGGAGUCGAUUAUCUAUGCGAGUGUUCGGGCGUCAAACCCCUACGCGUAAUGAAAGUGAACGGAGGUGGGAACCUUUACCGGUGCACCAUCGACCGAUCCGGAUGUCUUCGGAUGGAUUUGAGUAAGAGCAUAGCUAAUCGGACCCGAAAGAUGGUGAACUAUGCCUGAAUAGGGUGAAGCCAGAGGAAACUCUGGUGGAGGCUCGCAGCGGUUCUGACGUGCAAAUCGAUCGUCAAAUUUGGGUAUAGGGGCGAAAGACUAAUCGAACCA